AAUAUCCACGCCAACCCCUGUUCAAGUCCAAAAGCGAUGAGCACCGGAAAUCACGUAUACGCGCACGCUCGUCCUUGCUUUCUCCGUGCUCGGCUUCCAGGUCCUCCCAGCGCUCAGAUCUCAUAGCCUCCUCCAUCAGCCUGUUCUCCACGCGGCACCAGACGCACGAUUCGUCUCUGCUUCCCUCGUCGGCCAAGCUCUCUCUCCCGCUGCCUUCUCUGUGCCGCCUCCUCGCCAUGCUGUGCGCUGCCAGCCGCGCCGGUGAGCUCGCCCAGGUCCGGCGACCUGCUCCGGCUCGACUUUGUCCACGUCUGCAUCUUGCCCAACUCUGCUACUCCUGACUCGCCGGCGACCUGCAGCUCGGACUUCAGCAUCGGCCUUUUGUGUGCUCCGCUGCGCCAGAUCGCCGUGUUACCGUGGAGCUACAUGCCUUGCCCUUCGCUGUCGUUGUAGCGGAGUCGUCAUCGCCCAAGUGCUGAGCGCCCUGAACUCGCUACCGUUCUGCAGCCCCGCCGUCGACUCCCUGCUCGUCUCGCUACUUUGUCAUCAUUCACUAUCCCCGUCCUCGACGUCUACCUCGCCGCUCCUCGUGUCUAGCAAGCCGUCACGUUUGGCGGGUUUCCUCUAUGCGGCCUCACGCGUUCCUCUCGCUUCAUUCACAUGUCGUGUGGUAGAGCAGGUAUGGUUAUUUGAUUCGAUGUAUGUGUGGAUGCGGAAUAAAUUUCAAGAGAAAUAGGUUCUUGUGUGAUUGUGGUCGGCUGUUGUUAGCGCCAUCGUUCGAUAUUUUAUGUUUGUGUAUGGUAGAUCGGCGAAGAAAGAAACUAGUUUGUGUAAAAAAAAUGAAGUUUCUGGCGAUUUUCGCCUGAUGCUUGGUGUGUUACCGGAGUCGGUUUCGUCACUAGCUAUCUUGGCGAACUUUCACUCAACUUCGGAAUUACGUAGGCUUAGAUACGCUCACUGAAGCGUAUUCAUUUGGUCAUCAAAUAUUUGCUUACUUAUAAAUACUUUUACCGUGAGUAGAAUAAAUCACUUAAUGGAAAUAAUUAAAUAAAUAAUUUGUUGCACUAGUUUUGGAAUUUUAUGAAGUCCAUGAAUUGCAACUCUCGAGUUAAUCCAUGGCAUGUGCUUUGCGUUGUCUAGAGCGAAUAGUGUAAAGUCCUAUUUAAUUAGUAUGUAAUUUAAAUUAAUCUAGAAACAUGAUUUAAAAGGUUAGUUAAAUUGUUCCUGCAUAUAUUAUAACUCUGGGUGUCCAAUAAUAGGAGUCUAAAUAUUGUUAGGCUCUCGAUGUUAUGCUUUAUCUAAAGAUAACAUAGCGUGUAUUCAUAUUCAUUGCUGCUUGAUGUUUGAAUUAGAUUUGGUUAAGCUAGAAAGACACGGCUAUUGCACUUAGUCAUAUGCCGAUAACUAGUGGUUCCGUAUGAAAUGGUACAACGCCUCGCGGAUAGGUGUGUAAUUCGCUAUCGUGUAUCACUAUUUAGAUUUGCGCUAUUCAUGUUUUGAUGCAUUUAUGUGCAUUAUGCAAAUCAUUUAGGUACGUUUAUUAAUCACGAGAUGUGGAGGACAAGAGUCGAGACGACCCCAAGAUGACGUAACGGGUGGACUACUCUGCAUAGUGAAGCUGAUGGACGAACCUGAAGAUGGAUGGACGAAUCAAGUAUCGGAACAAAGGCUGAUCGUCAAGUGAUCGACGUCUAACAACACUAACCUAGUGCUAUUCCAGGCAAGCCCCGGUGCAUGCGACCCCUUCCUUGUGUUUUUAAAUAAUUUUUACACACUUUAAGUCUAGCGAAAUGUGCAUUAGGUUUACAGAAGUUGCUUGGAAACCCUUUGCUGCAUUGCCUACCUUGAUAUCCAUACCUUUAUAGAUACUUCAGAUGAAGUAUCAAAAUAUGAUUUACAAAAAUGCUUAGCCCUGCUCAGAUCUUGUGGAUAGAGGUUGUCUUUUGCAUUAAGGCCUAGCUCAGGGGUUAUCCUGAGGAAGGACGACUUCUACCUGCAAGAAUAUUUUCAUUGGGAGCAUGGUGGGAUCUUACUGCAAAGUUCCCUAUAAUGCUCUUUUCUUCCUUAGGAACAUAAACAAUCCUAAGGAUGAAGUACUUAAAUCGGGACUUGGGCUAGGAACAGGUGAUGCUCCGCCCAUGUUAAUUAAGGAUUGGAUGCGUAUGUAGGCCUGUAUGAUCAAGGACUAUCUUAACUGGCCACAUGCCCUGGAUAUGGGACAGGGUAAGCUUGAACCCGGCUAUUCCAUACGUGAAAAGACAACCGCGCACUGGGCAUGGGAGAUGGUGGGAGUAGCGUGUACCCUCCUGGAUGGAGGCUGGAUGGAGGAGUACUGUGCUCCCGGGUAGUGCGGACCGGUUCACAUUGUGGAGGAUCUGUGGGAACGGUUGACAUAUGCAAGGGUUAAGUGCUACAUAUGUCGUGUGGUUAGAGAUCCUCAGCUGAGUAAAUCAAUUCGGAUAGCCGUUAUAUCCCGGAUAAUGGAGACUUGGUCACUGCCCUACAACCUAAGUCAGGAUGUGAACCCCAUGAAUAAAAAUGAUGUUGUAUUGAUGAGAUGGUGAAAUUAGACCAGAUGCAAACAUAGUCUAUUAAUAUUUAAUCUGGUGUUAAAAUAUUGAAAGUAAGGACUCACUUUAGUAAGCUAUUUCUGCAAAAAGUAUUUAAGUUGAUUCUCGCUAAAAGCCUCUCCUUGAUUCCUAAAUCCAGCAUACCCUUGAGAGUCUUUUCUUUAGUCGGAUAAGUCUUGCUGGGUAAUUCCAUAAUCAAGGUUUUAUUCCCUGUUGUUUUUCAGGUUAUAGUUUUGUGCUGUUGCUGAUGGUGUUAAGUGCCGGUGGGCUCGGCCUUCUUAUAAGUCUAAGUAACCCUUCUAUACGUCUUACUGAGGAUGGUCACUUGAGCUAGCAUAUAUUUCAAACUUAUACUUUUGUAAU
rnacentral:lncRNA from 1 species